rnacentral:pre_miRNA from 1 species
AAUGUGAAACUGACUGAAUAGGUUGGUUCAUUUUUCUGUGACUGCACAUGGCCCUGCCUAUUCAGUCAGUUUCAUAUU